rnacentral:rRNA from 1 species
GACGAACGCUGGCGGCGUGCUUAACACAUGCAAGUCGAACGGAAAGGCCCUGCUUUUGUGGGGUGCUCGAGUGGCGAACGGGUGAGUAACACGUGAGUAACCUGCCCUUGACUUUGGGAUAACUUCAGGAAACUGGGGCUAAUACCGGAUAGGAGCUCCUGCUGCAUGGUGGGGGUUGGAAAGUUUCGGCGGUUGGGGAUGGACUCGCGGCUUAUCAGCUUGUUGGUGGGGUAGUGGCUUACCAAGGCUUUGACGGGUAGCCGGCCUGAGAGGGUGACCGGCCACAUUGGGACUGAGAUACGGCCCAGACUCCUACGGGAGGCAGCAGUGGGGAAUAUUGCACAAUGGGCGGAAGCCUGAUGCAGCAACGCCGCGUGCGGGAUGACGGCCCUCGGGUUGUAAACCGCUUUCGCCUGUGACGAAGCGUGAGUGAUGGUAAUGGGUAAAGAAGCACCGGCUAACUACGUG